rnacentral:rRNA from 1 species
UACGUAGGGGGCUAGCGUUGUCCGGAAUCAUUGGGCGUAAAGAGCGUGUAGGCGGCCCGGUAAGUCCGCUGUAAAAGUCAAAGGCUCAACCUUUGAAUGUCAGUGGAUACUGCCGGGCUAGAGUCCGGAAGAGGCGAGUGGAACUCCUGGUGUAGCGGUGGAAUGCGCAGAUAUCAGGAAGAACACCAACGGCGAAGGCAGCUCGCUGGGGACGGUACUGACGCUGAGACGCGAAAAGCGUGGGGGGAGCAAAACAGGGAUUAGAAAACCCCGAGUAG